UACGGGGGGGGCAAGCGUUGUUCGGAAUUACUGGGCGUAAAGGGCUCGUAGGCGGCCAACUAAGUCAGACGUGAAAUCCCUCGGCUUAACCGGGGAACGGCCUCUGAUACUGGCUGGCUGGAGUUCGGGAGAGGGAUGCGGAAUUCCAGGUGUAGCGGUGAAAUGCGUAGAGAUCGGGAGGAACAUCUGUGGCGAAGGCGACUGCCUGGACCAGCACUGACACUGAGGCACGAAAGCGUGGGGAGCAAACAGG
rnacentral:rRNA from 1 species